AUUGAACGCUGGCGGCAGGCCUAACACAUGCAAGUCGAGCGGAUGAGAGGAGCUUGCUCCUUGAUUCAGCGGCGGACGGGUGAGUAAUGCCUAGGAAUCUACCUGGUAGUGGGGGACAACGUUUCGAAAGGAACGCUAAUACCGCAUACGUCCUACGGGAGAAAGCAGGGGACCUUCGGGCCUUGCGCUAUCAGAUGAGCCUAGGUCGGAUUAGCUAGUAGGUGGGGUAAUGGCCCACCUAGGCGCCGAUCCGUAACUGGUCUGAGAGGAUGAUCAGGCACACUGGAACUGAGACACGGUCCAGACUCCUACGGGAGGCAGCAGUGGGGAAUAUUGGACAAUGGGCGAAAGCCUGAUCCAGCCAUGCCGCGUGUGUGAAGAAGGUCUUCGGAUUGUAAAGCACUUUAAGUUGGGAGGAAGGGCAGUUAGUUAAUACUCUGCAAUUUUGACGUUACCAACAGAAUAAGCACCGGCUAACUUCGUGCCAGCAGCCGCAGUAAAAC
rnacentral:rRNA from 1 species